CAAUGGGCGAAAGCCUGACGGAGCAACGCCGCGUGAGUGAUGAAGGUCUUCGGAUCGUAAAACUCUGUUAUUAGGGAAGAACAAAUGUGUAAGUAACUAUGCACGUCUUGACGGUACCUAAUCAGAAAGCCACGGCUAACUACGUGCCAGCAGCCGCGGUAAUA
rnacentral:rRNA from 1 species